GACGAACGCUGGCGGCGUGCUUAACACAUGCAAGUCGAACGAGAGGAGAAGGAAGCUUGCUUCUUUCAAAUCUAGUGGCAAACGGGUGAGUAACACGUAAACAACCUGCCUUCAGGAUGGGGACAACAGACGGAAACGACUGCUAAUACCGAAUACGUUCCUUAGGUCGCAUGACUUUAGGAAGAAAGGGUGGCCUCUACUUGUAAGCUAUCGCCUGAAGAGGGGUUUGCGUCUGAUUAGGUAGUUGGUGAGGUAACGGCCCACCAAGCCGACGAUCAGUAGCCGGUCUGAGAGGAUGAACGGCCACACUGGAACUGAGACACGGUCCAGACUCCUACGGGAGGCAGCAGUGGGGAAUCUUCCGCAAUGGGCGAAAAGCCUGACGGAGCAACGCCGCGUGAGUGAUGACGGCCUCGGUGUAAGCNCUGUGAUCGGGACGGAAGUGGUCAGCAGACGAAUACUCUGCUGAAGUGACGGUACCCGAAC
rnacentral:rRNA from 1 species